rnacentral:misc_RNA from 1 species
GUUAAGGUUGAUAUCAUCUUAGGGGUCAUUAUGAUGCAGAACAUACUCCUAGGAAUUUCAGGAGUACAUAUUUUUGGAAAAAAUAUGGAAAAUAACUAGGCUUAUAUAUAGUGUUUGUGCUCCUAAAAUAUGUACUUCUAAAAUCCCUAGGAGUACGUUCUGCAUCACAUUAGCAAUUUAAACGGUUGUACCUGGACUUUCGCUUUUAAAAGCCAUAUUGAUUUGUGACAAGAUAUAAACACUUGACCAACCUUGUAUGUAUUAAUGCUUGCUUUUGUUCGAUUUCUGUAGAACUAGAAAACAUUUUCUACUCUCAAGCAAUUUAUAGCAUUCAGAAGUCAUUGCUUGUUAACACAUAGAAGAUAUUAUCUUUCAGAAAAUUGAGGUGGUGUGAAAUGUAUGAUUGGUAUUAUUAAAAAAAUAAUAAGAGAAGAAAAUAAGAAACACAUACUGAUGAAAAAUGGUGUAGAUUUCAUGCAUUUGUGAUGCGAUCUAAUCUAAGAAAGUCAUAUAGGGGAUGCCUUUGUUAUAUCCUCAAAAAAAGUAAUUAGAAGGGAGGACUAUACAUGUCUUGUAUGGUAAAAAUGGCGUGACAAGUUACAAAGGAAUAAAGGACGUGAAGCCCAGAUAGAUGCACCCUUGCUUAUGUAUUUUACAUCUUAGAAGUUUGAGACAUUUUUUGACUUCCUAUUGAAGUAAGUGUACAAAGUUUUCAAAUGUGAUGUAAGGAUUUAAGCUACUCCUAUUUAUGCAGCCUGCGUUGAGAUACUACUCACUGGUCUUCGAUGCUGUUUACACCCCUAAAAUUACCAGACUCUUGAGAGAAGCAGAGGAAUCUGGAGCCAUAGCAGUUUCAGGGUUGGAGAUGUUUAUUGGGCAGGCAUAUGAACAAUUUGAGAGGUUCUCUGGAUUACCC